CCCGUUCCCAUACCGAACACGGAAGUUAAGCUUCUCAGCGCCGAUGGUAGUUGGGGGCUCUCCCCCUGUGAGAGUAGGACGCCGCCGGGC
rnacentral:rRNA from 1 species